rnacentral:SRP_RNA from 2 species
GCUGGGUGUGGUGGUGCACACCUGUAAUUCCAGCUGCUCGGGAGGCUGAGGCAGGAGAAUCACUUGAACCCAGGAGGCGGAGGUUGCAGUGAGCCAAGAUUGCGCCACUGCACUUCAACCUGGGUGACAAAGUGAGACUCUAUCUCAG